CGGCGGGCCCGCCUUUACUGGCCGCCGGGGGGCUCACGCCCCCGGGCCCGCGCCCGCCGAAGACACCCCCGAACUCUGUCUGAAGAUUGAAGUCUGAGUGAAAAUAUAAAUUAUUUAAAACUUUCAACAACGGAUCUCUUGGUUCCGGCAUCGAUGAAGAACGCAGCGAAAUGCGAUACGUAAUGUGAAUUGCAAAUUCAGUGAAUCAUCGAGUCUUUGAACGCACAUUGCGCCCCCUGGUAUUCCGGGGGGCAUGCCUGUCCGAGCGUCAUUGCUGCCCUCAAGCCCGGCUUGUGUGUUGGGCCCCGUCCUCCGAUUCCGGGGGACGGGCCCGAAAGGCAGCGGCGGCACCGCGUCCGGUCCUCGAGCGUAUGGGGCUUUGUCACCCGCUCUGUAGGCCCGGCCGGCGCUUGCCGAUCAACCCAAAUUUUUAUCCAGGUUGACCUCGGAUCAGGUAGGGAUACCCGCUGAACUUAAGCAUAUCAAUAAG
rnacentral:rRNA from 1 species